UUUCCAUAUCUGCCACAACACUUCCGCCACUAGCCCUUCAUCUGGACGUCGGGUGAGAGAGAAGCUAAGUUGAGUUACCUACUGCUAUGGCGAGCUCAGAUGCAGGGACGUCAUCUGGAAGUGAGUACCAAGUUUUCUUGAGCUUCAGAGGACCAGAUACUCGGAUUGGAUUCACCAACGUCCUCUACCAUAGUUUGCGUGAUGCCGGAAUCCGUGUCUUCCUAGACGAUGAAGAGCUCCGAGUUGGUGAAACGAUUGCUGGAUCGCUUAAGCAAGCAAUCGAUAACUCCAUGAUCUACAUACCCGUCUUCUCUAAGACUUAUGCUUCGAGCAAAUGGUGCCUUUGUGAGCUCAGGCAAAUCAUGGCAAACACUUUGAGAUCGGGAGGGAAUAAAGAGAUCCUCCCUAUUUUCUAUGAUGUGGAACCUGAUGAUGUUAAGUUAAAAUCUUCGCUAUAUCGCGAUGCCAUACUUGAGUUAGAAAGUGAGAAGAAGUUGAGCAAUGAGCAAGUAGAUGUGUGUAGAGAGGCUCUCUUGGAGGUUGGUGCCAUAAAGGGGUGGGAAGUGAAGAAGUACAAAGGCCAUGGGGAUCUAAUCAAAUUGGUAUUGAGAAGGUAGUGAAAGCGUUGAAGACAAAACAUAGGAAGGUGACUGAACAUUUAGUUGGGAUCGAUGAACAAGUAGGAGCAGUAAGCAAAUUAUUGGACAUCAACUCCGAGGAUGUGCGAAUAAUUAAGAUUCAUGGCAUGGGGGGUAUUGGUAAAACGACUCUCGCCAAGGUUGUUUUUAACAAACUCUCAUCUCAUUUUGGAAAAUGUUGUUGUUUCCUUGAAGAUGUUCGAGCGAAGACAUCUCUUGAUGAUGACUUAGCUAAGUUGCAAAAAAAGUUAGUAUCCGACAUUGGCCAUCCUACAGGAACAAGGAGCAUUGAUGAAUAAUGAUGGAAUGAAGCGAUUGAAAAAGUAUUUCGCAACAAGAAAGUCCUCAUUGUACUUGAUGAUAUUAAUGACAUCAAACAAGUGGAAAAAUUAAUCGGAGAGAAUACUUUGCAUUUAGGAUCUCGAGUAGUGAUUACCACUAGAAAUAAAGAUGUUUUGCGAACCCAUACACAGAAGUGUCAAAUUUUAGAUUAUGAAAUGGAGGUGAUGAGUAGUGAUUGUGCGCUUGAGCUUUUUAGUUGGCAUGCAUUUAACAACAACUCUCCUUUAGAUGAUUACAAUGAUCUUUCAAGGGAAAUUGCAUAUGCUACGGGAGACUUCCGUUGGCUCUUGAAGUAAUUGGUUCGUUCCUUUAUAACAAAAAGCAACAAAUAUGGCAAGAGACACUAGAGAAAUUAACCAAAGCACCUCAUGAGGAUGUUUUUGGAAAGUUGAAGAUUAGCUAUGAUACCUUAACUUGGGGGCAACAACAAAUCUUUCUUGAUAUUGCAUGCUUUUUCAUUGGUAAGGAUAAGACGAAUCCAAUUUACAUGUGGAAUGAUUGUGAGUUUUUUGCAGAGACUGGAGUUGAUGCCCUUGUCAACUUGUCUUUAGUAAAGAUUGUGGACAACAAUAAGUUUUGGAUGCAUGACCAACUCAGAGAUUUGGGAAGGGAAAUUGUUCGUCAAGAAAAUCCAACAAAUCCUGAAAACCGUAGUAGGUUAUGGAUCAAUGAGGAGAUCUUGAUGCAAUAACCACAAAGGAGAUGAAGAGGAAUGUCCAAGCACUGGAUCUUGAUCUAUGCAAAAAUUAUAUGAAGGAUGUUAUUGAAAGUGAAGAGAUUGGAAGGUUUGAACAUCUAAGAUGGCUAGAAAAUUGAAAGUUCUUGUCGUGGCAAUGUGUGGCAGAAUAACUAGAAUACCAGACUUCUCUGGAUCUCCGUAUUUAGAGAGGCUUACUUUCAACUAUUGUUCCAAUUUGAAGAAAAUUGACAGCUCUAUUGGGAAGUUGAAAUGUCUAAUUUACUUGAGUAUUUAUGUUUGCUUUAGUCUUGAAGAUUUGCCUGAAGAAAUUGGGAAUCUUGUGAAUUUGCAGCACUUCUCUAUACGACAUUGUAAAGUGAAGAAACUCCCGGAUUCCAUAUGGAAGUUGAAAUCAUUACAUGAGUUACACUUUGUUAGUAGCUACGAUAGAUUAGAUUCAGCAAAUUCAUGGGAGUUACCUAGUGCUAUUGGAAUGCUCCAAAAGCUAGAAGUGCUUUGUGUUGGUAGUCGCUCUUUGAAAGGUCAAAUUCCUUAUGAAAUUGGAAGUUUACCCUUUCUAAGAAGACUAGAUCUAACAAGGACUCAAUUAAGUGAAGUUCCAAAGAGCAUUAGCAUGCUCACUUACCUGAAACGGUUGAAGUUGGAAGCCUGUGAUAGGAUUCAAGAGUCACUAGUACUCCCAACAAGUUUAACCCAUCUACAUAUACAAUCUACAUCGCUUCAAGUAGUCCCGGAUCUUUCGAACUUGACUAAUUUGGUUGAGUUGGAUCUAAGUUCAAGGGGAGGAGGAGAUCAACCUUGCACCAGUGAGUUAAGGUGGAUUGGUAGGUUGUCCAAAUUAACUAAAUUGAGAUUGAGACUUUACAAUGUCCAUGUUCCUUCUGAGUUGGCUUCCCUUCCUUUG